CUCACAGAUAAAAGUGUAAUUUCCUUAUUAUGUAGAGAGCUCUUACAAAUCAAUAAGAAAGAGACCAGCCAUUAUUUCCCAAAUAGAAAAUAAACAGAGUUUGAACAGAUAAUUCAUAGGACGUGGAGACAUGGGCAGGGUGCAAUUUUACUGGUACUGGAAGGAAAGCUGAUAAAAUGGCAUGAAGGUGCUGACAGUCACCUGCUGCACUGACGUGAAUCGUGAAGUUGGAUAAUUCACUGUGUCCGGUGCCUGUGGGGAAAUACGAGCCCUUCCAUGUUGUUGGGAGUGUAAACUGGUCUGUGCCCACAGUGUGCAAUUUGGGAUUAUCUCCCCAGAUUACACCUGGACAUUUCUUGGACUAGCAAUUCCACCCCUGGGAAUUCACCCUACAAAUCUGCUCCCCCGUGACACUGACCCAAGGACAAGCCACAGGCUGAACCGCUGUCUGUAAGAUGGGAACGAGCGGGCACGGGGCAGAGGAAGCAGGAUUCAUCUCUGCAGUGGAUCCCAGACCCGAGGGUCCACGUCGCCGAGACCAUUCAGUAGUUAAAAUAGAACAGAGUCCGCUGCCCUUGUGGGAGAGAGAGAAGCGGGGGCUCCUGGGCUCCGUGUUUAUACACACGUGGGAAGGGGACUCAGGCCGUGCUGGCCGCCUCGGGGUGCGGCUGCCUCAGGCAGGGCGUGCAACCCCCCGUCUUUCUGUGCCUCUUGAACGUGGACCGAACCACCACGCGAUGUCUGUGGGAGACAUCUCUCAAUCCUGCCAGUGAAGGGCCCCUGCUGUGGGAGGGUGGAUGGCAGGGGCUCAGGCCAGAGCAGCGGCCGAGAGGCAGGGGGCAGAGGGGAAGUCCUGCGUGGCCUCGGUACUCCAGGUCUGGGGCUGGACGGUUGGACACUGAUUCGGGGCCGGCGCGCUAGCCAGGCCUCUGGGCCAGGCAGCCAGGGCUCCACGCCCGUGACCUGGGCUGGCCUGAACGCCGUGUGCCAGGGAGAGCAGUGGUGGUCACGGGGCCCCGGGUCCUCCUCCGGGCACCGGCCCAGCGGCCCAGAUGGUUUUCUUCACGCAGGAGCGCCGGCCGCCAGGGCAGAAAGCCCGGAAGAGCCUUGCAGCUGGCCCUCAUCUCAGCACCUCUGCCCGGGGUUGUUUUUUGCUGGAAAAUCAAUUCUGCGAGUCCAGCUGGGCCCUGGCCAGAGUGGCCGGGCGGCCGGCCCGGCUCCAGGGGAUGCGACCUGUUGCCUCUGUCCCGCCUCCUGUGGGCAGUGGGGGCUGUCUGGGCGGGGGCCGACGUCACAGGGAGAGAGCCUGCCUCCCUGCCCUGUCCCCUGCUCAGGCCACCCCAGGACAACUGCCCCGCCACUUCCUGGCCAUGGUCCCGUGCUGAAUGCCCACUCAUUGUCCCCACAGCCCUGAGCCCCUAGAGCCACACCCAGACGGAGGGCAGAGGGCGGAGGGCAGAGGGCAGCCAACGCUGGGUUGGCCAAAGGACCAAAGGGGGGCAGCCAUGAUGGUAGUAGGGUGGCUGGCGCCCCUCCCUGUCGGUACCACUGCUGAGAGCUCCCACCCCAGCGCCCGCCUCACUCUGCCCCAGCCCAGGGAGCCGCUCGGCACCCCUGCCCAGGGCUCACGUGUUCUUGCAGGUGGCAAGACCGCCAGUGGGGUGUCCCUCGGUCAUCCUGUGGCCCCACUGCCCAGAGGAGCUGCCUUUCGGCCCAUAAGCACCACGGCUUCUUCCACUACGCCCGUCCCUCUCCACCGGUUUGUGCCCCAGAUCAUGUCUCAGUUUACACGCACACACAUACACACGCACACGCAAGCACAUAUACACACACGCGCCAGACCCGCUCUCCCUCCAUCCCUGUGGUGACUCUGCUGCCCCGUCCGCUUGUUCACUUGCCCACGGUCUCAGCACCUCCAGUUCACAGACCCCUGUUAUUCCAUACAGAUUUGGGAUAAGACUGUUGAAGUUGCUGAAAACAAACAGCCAGCCUUCUGGCAGAUCGCAGCGCCCUCACGUCAACGUGGAGAGCAGGCGGGCGGGUCGACUAUGGUGGCUCAGAUGCGUCAGCAUUCGCGGGAGGCCGGCGCCCUUUGAUCAUUCCUCAGCUGCCUGUCAAGCGUGCUGCCAGGCAGGCCGGCCGGUUUUCUCACCGGGAACCAGGCGAUGGGUCGUGCGAGGGGCAGCCUCCCGGGCCGGUGCUCCGCCUGUGCUCGGUCGGCAGCUGGUGGAAGCGCUGGCAAGCGGCCGGCAGAGCGGUCCCUGUGGAGCAGCCGCCGUCUGGAUCUGCUCUAGCGCUCCGCUGAUUUGUAGGGUUUUCUGUUCCCAUGACUGUGGCGGCACCGGUGCGUUUCCCUCCUCCUUGCAAUGUCCUGCCUUGUGCUUGUGUCCCUGUCUCCUGGCUGUGGCCGUGGCCUCCGGCACAAUGUUAGACUCUGGGAGAUGAGCUGGGGUCCCCAAGACUGGGAGGGGAGGGCCUCGCCCGGGGUCACAGGGCCCAAGGACUCCUCGUGUCCCCACGGCCCUCCUCUACAGCCCCACCUGCUUCUGGGCUGAGCCAGGGACCCUCCAAGUCACCCCUCCGGCCUCCUCUCACACCCACACCCACGUCAGCGAAACCAAUGCAUCCAGAAUCAGCCCCUUCCUGCUGGGGUCCAGGCCACCCUCGUGCUCACCAAGUCCCCAGCAGUGUGGGGGGCCGGGCAGGCCGGGGCAGAGGUGCCUCCGGCUGCCGGGGGGUGGGGGCCUGAGCAGGUGCCGGUGAUGCCGGGAGGGGACCCACAGGACCUGGUGGGGGCUUGCAGAACAUGCAGUCAAGGGACCCUCGGGCUCCUGACGGCCCCGGAGCCAGGAGGGGCUGCUCCACGAGGCGGUGAUGUGUUGCAGGUCCUGGAGCCUCCCAAAGGGCCCACAGGACUGGCCCUCGGGACAGAGAUGGGCUGGGCAGCAUCCAAUAGGGAAGCAGAACCCACCUGCCUAGCAGGGCCGAGCACCGAGGCCUCGGGCACAGUGAGGCAGGGGCCGCUGGUGGGGUUGGCCUCGAGUCCACAGGCCCCUGGUCACACCUUCCAGUGAGCCCCGCAGGAGCUGGGGGGCAGUAGUCAGGGGGCCUCAGGGCUGGGAGUGGCACCCCCCACAACCAGGCGCCACGGCACCAGGUCAGGAGGCAGGGCUGGCAAGGAUGGGGUGGGGUUUGACUGUAAAGCCUGGUGGGAGAUCUGAGACCCUGAGUGAGCACCAGGGAGGGGCCACCAGACUCAGAGCCAGCCACUGGACAGAACGGUCACAGACUGGGGGCGUCCCCACAGCAGGCUCUGAACUCCCAGGGCAAUGCCAUCCUGUCCAUCACUUUCACAAGAUGGUCUGCAGUGGGCACCACCGGCCCAGGCUUCCUCACUGGGUUGGGCUGGGGUCCAUCCAGAGAGCUGCCCUCGGGCCCCUCUGGGGACAGAGAGCCUCAAGGAAAAGCAGGCCCAGCAGCAGCCCCACCCGGUGGGAGGGGAGCCUGAGGAGGGGGUCCCAGAGCCAUCAAUCUGGGCAGGCGAGAGGACAUUUCAGACACGUGAGGUUUCACAAAAUCACCUCCCUUGAGCCCAUUCUCAGGAAGCUACUGCAGGAUGCACUUCAGCAAAAUGAGGGUGUAAACCCAAGAAGAGGGUGAUGGGCCAGGAGAUCAGGCAGCAUGCGAGGUCCAUUCAUUCAUCCACUCGCUCACUCAGCAAACGCCAGCCACACACCGAGCGCGCAGCAGAGGACAUUCGGAGUCCCUCCUGACACGUUUCUGCGAAGGGAGUCAGAGCAAAACAGGUUUUCAAACUAAAAUAGAAAGUAUGGUUUCAGUUCAGACAUGUAAAGAGCUUAGAAGUCGUCACUUCUGUCCUUGCAACAAAAAUAGUUGAAAAACUGAAAAAUCAACAACUUUUCUUGGACCCGUCACAGAACCGAGGUCACAGGGCAAACCACCACCCUGAGAUCUGGAGGGACGGUGACGAGGUCACUCGCCUGCAGCAGAAGCCACUGGAGCCACGAUGGGCUGGUGUGCCCAGGAGUGAGCGGUGAUUUGCUGGAGCUGAGUGGACUCGAGUGAGAGAGAAGCUCCGGGAAAGAGAAGAGCAGCCCCAGCCCUGCCCCUCGCCCGACGCAGCGCCAUGGGGCAGUCUCCCUCUGCGUGGGCCCACGUGAAGGAGCCUGCGGCCGUGCUCCAGGGUCUGGUCCUUCCUCUGACGUGUGAGGCCCACACGCACUGUCUGUGAACGUCACUUGUCUUCACUGCUGUGGAAACCACUACUGGCCAUCCAUCCCACCACUGAUGGACGGGGUGUUUCAGGUUCUGCCCUUUAUGGUGAGAGCUGCUCUGGAUGCCCCUGACCCGGCGGUCAGUCACUGCGUGUCCGUGUAUCAGAGCCCCCGGGAGUGGAAAUGCCGGUCAGGGGGUCUCAGCGGGGCUCCGGGGAAGCGGCCCUGGGAUGGGUUCCACACACAGCUGGUGUGGCAGGAGCCCUCUCGGCGACACCCUGCAGGGCCCAGCGAGAGCACUGGGGCAGAGGGGCAUGGGGGUCGGCGGGGGUCCCCUUGGAGUGGGCGGGUGUCCACAGCCAUCCUCAGCUGAGACAAAGGGGCUGGAGGUUUGCACUCCGAAGCCAGGGACUAAGUGAGCAGAAGGGACGACCCCCCAGCAGGCUGCAGGAUGCUGGACCCACAGCACCAACUACGGCCGGGGUGGGCUUCGGGGCGGGGGGCAGCUCUCAUGGCUGAGGACACCGUGCAGAGGGCUGAGCCGUGCGCCCUCAGGAACUAGGGCUCCAGGGCUGGGGAACAAAUGCCCUGGUCCUGAGCGGACGCCCGGUGCAUGCACCACCACCCCCGCUGUGGGGAAGGUCACCGUGUCUGGACGCUCCUGUGGGGGUUCCCGACGGUCUUUUUUUCUCUUCCAACUUUGGAAUCAGAGUUAAUGCAACCUCAUGACACAAGUUGGGAGGUGCACCCACUCCCUGUGAGUGGAAGUUUGUGUGAAACUAGUUAUUUCUUCUCUAAAUAUUUAAGACUCACCACGAAGUCAUCCAGAUUUGUAAUUUUUUUUUGAGGAAAUCUUUUUUAAAUUUGAAUUCUUUAAAGUUAUAGAGCUGUUCAGGUCUUUAUGUUUGUGUCAGUGUUCGCAAGUGUUGUUUUUUUUCAUUUCUUCUAAAUUUUCAGCAUAGUCGUUCAUCAGAUCCUCUGUCAUUCUACUGACCUUGGGAGCUGUAACGACACCUUUUCACGGCUGGUGGCAGUUGUACUUAUUUUCUUAAUUCAUCUGACAGAGUUUACUAAUUUUUCAAAGAACCACCUGUUGGAUUGGUGGAUCUUCUCUGCUAUGUGUUUGUUUUCUGUUUGGUUAAUUCUGAGCUUAUAUUAUUUUGGUCCAUCUAUGACUUUAAAUUUUGUCAUUCUUUUUCUAGUUGCUUAAGAUACAUAUAAAUUUAUCUUAAUUACGGUUUCUGUUCUCUUCUAAUACUUUACGUUAAUUACUUCAGCUAUUCCCCAGUUUUUAUAUGUUGUGUUUUCAGUGUUACUCACGAUUCCUGAAGGAAAAACCGGUGAUAAAGGGGGAAACAAGUGAAGACAGGAUGGCUGAGAAUUUUCCAGAAUUAACUAAGUAAAGACACGAAUCUGCCAAUUCACAACGUGUAAUGAGUUCUGGGAAGGAGAAACAAGAACAGAGCCACUCGUGGACACGAGCUGCAGUGAGAAGGCAGAAUGCUGGGCAAAGAGGGGACUGUGAAGGCAGCUGCAGAGAAAAGCGGGACCCCCAAGGGACGGCGACCAGGAUGACCCCUGGCUCCCGAGGACAGAGGCUGGACGAUAAGGAGGCGCGGAGUGGGGAGAAAACAGCUCCGGCCCUGGAAUCCUGCGCCAGCCCAACCUCAGCAAGGGUGUGGGCAAAACUAAAGUUUUCUCCAGAAGUCUCCCACAAAUAGGCCUUUGUGGAUGGCUUCCCUGGCAGAACAGCGCUGGAAAGACCACUGAAGGACGCGCUCCAGGACGCACAGAGCUAAAGGGGAGCAGAGUCGGAGAAGCCGGGACGUGAGCCCCAGGCACCACAGCGGAGGCUUGGGGCCGAGAGGGAAAUGCCAGGCUCGGGCAAAGAGCAGGCCUCUGUGGCGGGCCCGGCCCUGCCCUCAGGAACCCCAUCUAGCGCAGACUGAGGAGCGAGUGCAGCUGAGAGUCGAGGUCAUUCACGCAGUGUCCUCCUGGCUUUCCUCUGCAGAGGCCGCGGCAUCCGUUCUUCCCCGGGCCUCAGGCCCCUGUGAGAGGAGCACCAGGCGGAGGCGGGUGGGCCCUGUCCUGGCAGUGGCUGUGCCAGGACCUGCAUGCCCCUGGCACUGCCGGCACCAGCACUUGAGGCACACAGCUUCCGGGCCAGGACCUGCGGCUCCCUCGGACAUGGCUCCCGGGGCUGUAACUGGCCCCAAGGCCACUGGAACCUGCACCUAGAGCCCCCAGCGUCCCCGCGAGACCAAGCUGCUGAAGCAGACGCUGGGCACGCCGCUCUUUCUGGGGCUUUUAUUUCUUUAAAAUAAUUCAUACAAAUGGUGACAGUCACAAACAUGAUUUUAACCAAGAUACUGCGAGCUACCACAUCAGCAGGACGGACGGCACCGGCACAGGCCGGGACACGGCGCGCUUGCAGCCCAGACAGAUGCCGCGGGCCCACGCUCUCUUCGUCUCGAGCCGUGUCGCGGUGCCGUCUUCAUUUGGAACAAGGGGGUUCAUGCCAAAAUUAGGAAAACAGCCUUUGUUUUGUUUUCUAAGUUAUUCUAAAAAUAAGACAAGCAGGU